rnacentral:rRNA from 1 species
UACGUAGGGGGCAAGCGUUGUCCGGAUUUAUUGGGCGUAAAGAGCUCGUAGGCGGCUUGGCAAGUCGGGUGUGAAAACUUCAGGCUCAACCUGGAGCGGCCACUCGAUACUGCCAUGGCUUGAGUCCGGUAGGGGACCACGGGAAUUCCUGGUGUAGCGGUGAAAUGCGCAGAUAUCAGGAGGAACACCAGUGGCGAAGGCGGUGGUCUGGGCCGGAACUGACGCUGAGGAGCGAAAGCGUGGGUAGCAAACAGG